UGGGGAAUUUUGGACAAUGGAGGCAACCCUGAUCCAGCCAUGCCGCGUGAGUGAAGAAGGCCUUCGGGUUGUAAAGCUCUUUCGAACGGGACGAAAUGGUUAGCGUGAAUAACGCUGACUGAUGACGGUACCGUAAUAAGAAGCACCGGCUAACUACGUGCCAGCAGCCGCGGUAAUACGUAGGGUGCGAGCGUUAAUCGGAAUUACUGGGCGUAAAGCGUGCGCAGGCGGUUCGCCAAGUCAGGUGUGAAAUCCCCGGGCUUAACCUGGGAAUUGCGCUUGAAACUAGCGGGCUUGAGUGUGGCAGAGGGGGGUGGAAUUCCACGUGUAGCAGUGAAAUGCGUAGAGAUGUGGAGGAACACCGAUGGCGAAGGCAGCCCCCUGGGUCAACACUGACGCUCAUGCACGAAAGCGUGGGGAGCAAACAGGAUUAGAUACCCUUGUAGUCCCUGAGCGGGCUGGCAAGGCGCAU
rnacentral:rRNA from 1 species